CCUACGGGAGGCUGCAGUGAGGAAUAUUGGUCAAUGGGCGGAAGCCUGAACCAGCCAAGUAGCGUGCAGGAUGACGGCCCUACGGGUUGUAAACUUCUUUUAUACGGGAAUAACUCGCCUUACGUGUAGGGCUUUGCAUGGACCGUAUGGAUAAGGACCGGCGAAUUCCGUGCCCGCAGCCGCGGUAAUACGGAAGGUUCGGGCGUUAUCCGGAUUUAUUGGGUUUAAAGGGAGCGUAGGCCGCAUGUCAAGCGUGCGGUAAAAUGUCCGGGCUCAACCCCGACAAGCCGUUGAAACUGGCUUGCUAGAGUGGGCGAGAAGUAUGCGGAAUGCGUGGUGUAGCGGUGAAAUGCAUAGAUAUCACGCAGAACUCCGAUUGCGAAGGCAGCAUACCGGCGCCCAACUGACGCUCAGGCACGAAAGCGUGGGUAUCGAACAGGAUUAGAUACCCUUGUAGUC
rnacentral:rRNA from 1 species